rnacentral:lncRNA from 1 species
UUUUCAAAUACCGCUUAUGAACUCACCAACAUUUCAUAUGUUGACGUUUUUCAAAAUACUUGUAUUCUCAGGUAACAAGUGAACCGAAGGAAAAUGUACUCAGUGAUGGCUUGCAGUUUGUUUAUCUAUGAACCGAACAAUUUAUUUUUGGGAGUGUAACGCUAAAACAAUGUACUCAGUGUAAACUUUAUCAGUUGUUCUAUAUUAAUGCAUGGUGAUAAAUGAUGUUAUGUUACAUAUAUAUUCAAUGUUAUGGUAUUCAAUUAAGUCACGGCAGCCCUCGGACGUUUCCGCCGUCUGGUUCGGGGGUGUGACAGGUUGGUAUCAGAGCUUUGUUUAUAGUGAACUAGCAUAUCUAGCCACACAUUGAUAUGCAACUAUAAACCAAAAAGAGGGACUAACAUAACUCUGAACAAAAUGAGUAAAUAAAACAUCCUUGCUUGCAUUAGGAAUAAGAACAUAACACCGAACCAAACAAAAUAAUGCUAGUAUCUCGGUUAAUUCAGGACUGUUCUUAGUGGUACCAAGGAGUGGAUGUAGCCUGAUCAACUACAUUCUCUCCAAAGUACAACUAACACACGUUUUGAUGAGAUCGGAAUAGCUAGGGAACCUAAAACUAUACCCUUUUAGCACCAAAAAGAGAACGCCUGUUUAGCUUAUGCAAUAGUUGUGGCACCUUAGGAAUAAUGUUAGCGCAUUUACACACACUCGCAGACAGCAUGGCUGGUUUCCAUCAUCCCGGAGAUCCCUACUUCCCUAACCAGGGAAACAACGGAUGGCUAGAGGAGGAGGAGCGUGAGGAAGACCCCGAAGAGGAAUCUGACGCGGAACCGGAGGCAGGAGUCGAGGGCGAGCCUACCGAAUUAAAGGAAGAUGAAGGAAGCUUCGAAGAGGAAACUGAUGACAGUGAAGNNNNNNNNNNNNNNNNNNNNNNNNNNNNNNNNNNNNNNNNNNNNNNNNNNNNNNNNNNNNNNNNNNNNNNNNNNNNNNNNNNNNNNNNNNNNNNNNNNNNGUUAAAAAUGCUUUUCAUCAUUAAAAAGGACCAAAGUUGCGAAAAAUUUUCAAUUUGGGCCAAAAGUGUAAAAAUAGCGAAAAAGAGGGGUUACAACCAAGAAAACUGUACUUUCAGGGACUAAAACUGUUUUCAACUAAAAAUAAGCUGAAAAAUAUCAAUUUCAAUAAGUUUUGGUGCUAAAAUGUAAAGAAAAAUGGUUUAAGGACUAAACCAGAAAUUUAUUUAUUUAAAGGGUUGAAGAAGUAAAUUUACAACAAAAAGAGGGGCUGUAACAAAAAAGUUGAAAUGUUAAUUAAAUACAACCGUUGUGAUCAAACACUGGCACUACGACUACCGACGAAUUAUAUUACACAACAACACCAAAAAUCGUUAUCAAACGAAUUGAUUCGGUCUCGAAUCAAUAACAAACCCGAAACUACUAACACGACGAUAACUCGACUCAUACACGGAAAAUUUGGGAAAUCAUUACACAUGUGAGAGUGCACAAACGUCGAUGCACCACCUUUGGGCCUAAAAGUGUAAAAUCUUGUUUGUUGGGCCUAGCUAGCCCAAUGACUUGAUCUUUAGGCCCGAAGACUUCAACCUUACGAGUUGUUGGGUCUUACAUGAUCCAACACAACGUAAAAGGACUUUCAAUGGCUAUUAUACUAUUGGUCCCCAAGGGUCCUUUGGUACUGCUAGUAAAGUCAGUUAUGCAAAUGCGAAUCGGGUCAAGGGCCCUUCGCACUCUUUUUAUCCUCAAUCGACCAACGAAGUUAUCGAGGUCUUCGUGCCCUCUUUCUCCUCGGAUGUGGGACUACAAGAAGUCAGGGCGGUUGGAUUACGUGAAUAGUACGGACGACGCCUAGGGGAUCGUUAGUAUAGUUGUAAACUGGUCGUUUGUGUAACGCGUGUUUAUAGCAAUUCACCAUGCGCAAUAAUCCGACGUCGCCUGGAAUCAAUGACUUCACACGCCGUGAUGGUUCUACAACUACAUGGAAUUCAAAGUGUUAGGAAAACAUCGGGUUUUCCUAGGGUUUUUCAAUACAUACGGUUUUCUAAAUGUACACAAGUUCAAUGAACAAUUUUUACAACCAUAGAAAUAAACAAGCAUACUCAUGGAUCUUCACAAACAUUUUCAUAAACUCUUUUCAGAAUAUAUUGGAUUUUCUGGUAGUUUUUCAAAACAAUACAAAACGUUGCUUUUCAAAUACCGCUUAUGAACUCACCAACAUUUCAUAUGUUGACGUUUUUCAAAAUACUUGUAUUCUCAGGUAACAAGUGAACCGAAGGAAAAUGUACUCAGUGAUGGCUUGCAGUUUGUUUAUCUAUGAACCGAACAAUUUAUUUUUGGGAAUGUAACGCUAAAACAAUGUACUCAGUGUAAACUUUAUCAGUUGUUCUAUAUUAAUGCAUGGUGAUGAAUGAUGUUAUGUUUCAU